AGACCUGGCGGCUGCUUACCAUGCAAGUCGAACGAUGAUGCCCAGCUUGCUGGGUGGAUUAGUGGCGAACGGGUGAGUAACACGUGAGUAACCUGCCCCUGACUCUGGGAUAAGCGUUGGAAACGACGUCUAAUACUGGAUAUGAUUACCGGCCGCAUGGUCUGGUGGUGGAAAGAUUUUUUGGUUGGGGAUGGACUCGCGGCCUAUCAGCUUGUUGGUGAGGUAAUGGCUCACCAAGGCGACGACGGGUAGCCGGCCUGAGAGGGUGACCGGCCACACUGGGACUGAGACACGGCCCAGACUCCUACGGGAGGCAGCAGUGGGGAAUAUUGCACAAUGGGCGAAAGCCUGAUGCAGCAACGCCGCGUGAGGGAUGACGGCCUUCGGGUUGUAAACCUCUUUUAGUAGGGAAGAAGCGAGAGUGACGGUACCUGCAGAAAAAGCACCGGCUAACUACGUGCCAGCAGCCGCGGUAAUACGUAGGGUGCAAGCGUUGUCCGGAAUUAUUGGGCGUAAAGAGCUCGUAGGCGGUUUGUCGCGUCUGCUGUGAAAUCCCGAGGCUCAACCUCGGGCUUGCAGUGGGUACGGGCAGACUAGAGUGCGGUAGGGGAGAUUGGAAUUCCUGGUGUAGCGGUGGAAUGCGCAGAUAUCAGGAGGAACACCGAUGGCGAAGGCAGAUCUCUGGGCCGUAACUGACGCUGAGGAGCGAAAGCAUGGGGAGCGAACAGGAUUAGAUACCCUGGUAGUCCAUGCCGUAAACGUUGGGCGCUAGAUGUAGGGACCUUUCCACGGUUUCUGUGUCGUAGCUAACGCAUUAAGCGCCCCGCCUGGGGAGUACGGCCGCAAGGCUAAAACUCAAAGGAAUUGACGGGGGCCCGCACAAGCGGCGGAGCAUGCGGAUUAAUUCGAUGCAACGCGAAGAACCUUACCAAGGCUUGACAUACACCGGAAACGGCCAGAGAUGGUCGCCCCCUUGUGGUCGGUGUACAGGUGGUGCAUGGUUGUCGUCAGCUCGUGUCGUGAGAUGUUGGGUUAAGUCCCCAACGAGCGCACCCUCGUUCAUGUUGCCAGCGGGUAUGCCGGGG
rnacentral:rRNA from 1 species